rnacentral:rRNA from 1 species
CGAUGAACCACUUCGGUGGGGAUUAGUGGCGAACGGGUGAGUAACACGUGGGCAAUCUGCCCUGCACUCUGGGACAAGCCCUGGAAACGGGGUCUAAUACCGGAUACUGACCACUACAGGCAUCUGUGGUGGUGGAAAGCUCCGGCGGUGCAGGAUGAGCCCGCGGCCUAUCAGCUUGUUGGUGAGGUAACGGCUCACCAAGGCGACGACGGGUAGCCGGCCUGAGAGGGCGACCGGCCACACUGGGACUGAGACACGGCCCAGACUCCUACGGGAGGCAGCAGUGGGGAAUAUUGCACAAUGGGCGCAAGCCUGAUGCAGCGACGCCGCGUGAGGGAUGACGGCCUUCGGGUUGUAAACCUCUUUCAGCAGGGAAGAAGCGAAAGUGACGGUACCUGCAGAAGAAGCGCCGGCUAACUACGUGCCAGCAGCCGCGGUAAUACGUAGGGCGCGAGCGUUGUCCGGAAUUAUUGGGCGUAAAGAGCUCGUAGGCGGCUUGUCGCGUCGGUUGUGAAAGCCCGGGGCUUAACCCCGGGUCUGCAGUCGAUACGGGCAGGCUAGAGUUCGGUAGGGGAGAUCGGAAUUCCUGGUGUAGCGGUGAAAUGCGCAGAUAUCAGGAGGAACACCGGUGGCGAAGGCGGAUCUCUGGGCCGAUACUGACGCUGAGGAGCGAAAGCGUGGGGAGCGAACAGGAUUAGAUACCCUGGUAGUCCACGCCGUAAACGGUGGGCACUAGGUGUGGGCAACAUUCCACGUUGUCCGUGCCGCAGCUAACGCAUUAAGUGCCCCGCCUGGGGAGUAC